CUCGUCUGGUGUGUCUGGACCUUUGCGAGUUACAUUUUGGCCUCUCCUCACGGUUUUCUAAGCUAGUGCUUAACACAGCUGAGAGAUCCAUUAGUGGUAAGGUUACGUAACGUUUACAAAUAAUUAACGUCAAUCUGCUGACCACUAAUCAUUAAGUUGAAAAAACUGGGUUUUUUCUUACUUGAAGUAACUUGUAACUAGUUACAAAAGUAUUGAAGUAAUUUUGUAACGGGAACUAGUUACAUUUUUCUAAGUGUAACUUUUACCAGUAACUAGUUCCUUUUUUGGGAAUGUAACUGUAACUAGUUCCAAAAAAUGAGUAACUGUUACAGCCCUGUAAGUAUCAAUAUCAAUGUUUGAUGACCCAUUAGUUUAAACAGCCAUAAAAUGCAAACAACGAAUCUGGUAGUCGUACACUCGUACUCGUAAUAAAAUCUAAAGCGCUCCAGUGCUCAAUGUACUGAUUUUCUCGUGAUGUUCUUUUUUCUUUAGAUGAGCAGCUUACAUGUAGAUUGGACGCCCACGACGAAGAACGUGAUGAAUAACCAGCAAGUUGAGCCAAGUUCACCAGUUUCCUACAAAGGAACU